rnacentral:rRNA from 1 species
GAUGAGCUCGCGUCUGAUUAGCUAGUAGGUGUGGUAAGAGCGCACCUAGGCGACGAUCAGUAGCUGGUCUGAGAGGAUGAUCAGCCACACUGGGACUGAGACACGGCCCAGACUCCUACGGGAGGCAGCAGUGGGGAAUUUUCCGCAAUGGGCGAAAGCCUGACGGAGCAAUACCGCGUGAGGGAGGAAGGCUCUUGGGUUGUAAACCUCUUUUCUCAAGGAAGAAAAAAAUGACGGUACUUGAGGAAUAAGCAUCGGCUAACUCCGUGCCAGCAGCCGCGGUAAUACGGAGGAUGCAAGCGUUAUCCGGAAUGAUUGGGCGUAAAGCGUCCGCAGGUGGCAAUGUAAGUCUGCUGUUAAAGAGUGAGGCUUAACCUCAUAAAAGCAGUGGAAACUACAUAGCUAGAGUGCGUUCGGGGCAGAGGGAAUUCCUGGUGUAGCGGUGAAAUGCGUAGA